rnacentral:rRNA from 1 species
UACGUAGGGAGCAAGCGUUGUCCGGAAUCAUUGGGCGUAAAGCGCGCGUAGGUGGCCCCAUAAGUCCGCUGUGAAAGUCAAAGGCUCAACCUUUGAAAGCCGGUGGAUACUGUGGGACUAGAGUACGGAAGAGGCGAGUGGAAUUCCUGGUGUAGCGGUGGAAUGCGCAGAUAUCAGGAGGAACACCAAUAGCGAAGGCAGCUCGCUGGGACGUUACUGACGCUCAGGCGCGAAAGCGUGGGGAGCAAACAGG